rnacentral:tRNA from 31 species
GACCCAGGAAGAAUUAAUUCUAGAUUUAUUGAUAAUCUACGAUCAACUUCCUCCCUACCCCCAGGGGAAGUCGAAUCCCCGCUGCCUCCUUGAA